AUAAAAGCGAUGAAGAGGAGAAGUACGCAAUUCAUGCUCUAAAAGAGAGGACCAUCACCGGCUGAAAAUGGUCUGAGCCAAUGAAUUACAGAAAUGCACCUCUGAGCGUUAAGUUGAAAUAGUCACUAGAGUAGACUUAGCCGGUAAUCUCCGUUAAAAGAUGUUCAAGCGGGAAGCAAGUAUGCUUCCAAUCAGAGUGGAACCGCGCAUAGUAGGCGUCUCUGUC
rnacentral:ncRNA from 1 species